CGUUCAACCUCACCCUUCCCUUGUAAUUUCAGCCUAUAUACCACCGUCGCCAGCUUACCCUGUGAAGGAUUAGUAGUAAGCACAAUUGGCAAUGCCCAGUACGUCAGGUCGAGGUGUAGCAUAUGAAAAGGGAAGAGAUGGGCUACAUUCGCUAAAAAUAGUGAAUACGAAUAAUACAUUGAAACAUGUAUCUGAAGGAGGAUUUAGCAGUAAGUUGGAAAUAGAGUGUCCCACUGAAGCCGGCUCUUAAGCGUGCACAUACCGCCCGUCACCCUCACCGAGCCCCACUUGUUUAUUUAACUAAACCAACAUAUUUUUAUGCUAAGGAGAGGAAAGUCGUAACAUGGUAAGCGUACCGGAAGGUGUGCUUGGAUAAUC
rnacentral:rRNA from 1 species